GAAUUCAGAUGAACUUGAAUACUGUUUUUGUCUCUCAAAGAGCAUAGGAGUUAUAUUGUAGCAUUAUUGAAAUACAAUGUUAUACAUGCUAAUUGUUCCUGUGGACUUCCGGUAAUUGUGCUGUUAGCAAUAACACUAAUGCUAGUAAAUUUACUCAACGUUAUACAUGAGACUUUAAACUGGUACCCAAAAGUUCAUCUGACUUUGGGUUUUAGUGCCACCAUCCUAAAAUCCUUUCUGCCAGGAUCUACCAGAUUUAUUUUUUCAUGAAUCUCUCCUUUAGAUCCAAUCAGCCAUAUUACUAAAAUGUAACAUUAUUACAUUAUUGACAAUAUUUCACAUCACAUUGUCUUUCUGUGUUCACUACAGUACCUGUCUGACAGAUUUUAAGAAGUUAAUUCAAAUCACCAAAGUUUUAGCAUGGACCAAAGAUACACUUUAUAAGCUUUAGCAAGAGUAAACACAGACGUUAAAAUCUUACACCCCGUCUGAAUAAAGUUGAAUUUUGUAAUCUGACAAAACAUAAAAUGGCCACAUAAAAAUGUGCAUAUAUAGGUUUUAGUAUGAGCUCAGUCUAUUAUGAUCCCCACUCCCUUGUUCAUGGCUAUCUGGGACCCUUUGGGCGUCGCUAUUCUAAUCUAAGGGCUGCUUUGCCCUGUAAACCCCAUCGUGCCUGUACAGUUGGACAGCAGGCAUCAUGGUCAGCAGACAAACGCGGAUAAUAAAACUAAUGGGCCACACUUUGACCAUUUUGUGUUUCUACUUGGUUGACGUGGCGACCCCAAGGAUCCUGUUAUAACGGUCUUCACAGACCCCCCUCAUACUUCUAAGCCAGACUUGGAAGUCUUCCUCAGGAAGGAGCCAUCAUGACGUUAUGGCCCGGCCUUUUGCCCAUAGGACGCACAGCACCCUGGACAGCCCCUCACUUUUAUACUGCAGCUGCAGGCAGCUCCGCUCUCUCCCCGAGGCCCCUCCCUCUGUCUGUGUAACUAGGAAACAGAACUGAAUCCAACUAAAUGGGUUUACUUGGUAUUAUCUUUGUUUGUAUGCCGCAUGGUACCUUCUGUUUGUAACGCGUGUAUAGUCAAUUGCACUAUUGUUUGUUAAACUAACUUGGACGUGCAAUACUUAAACUAGAAAAUACUGUAAUAAAAAAAAAAAGCAGAACC
ensembl:lncRNA